rnacentral:misc_RNA from 1 species
GAUGAAGAACGUAGCGAAAUGCGAUACUUGGUGUGAAUUGCAGAAUCCCGUGAACCAUCGAGUUUUUGAACGCAAGUUGCGCCCGAAGCCGUUAGGCCGAGGGCACGCCUGCCUGGGCGUCACACGUCGUUGCCCCCCCAUCUACUCCUUCGGGAUUGCGGGGGGCGGAUGAUGGCCUCCCGUGCGCCUCGUCGCGCGGUUGGCCUAAAUGCCAAGUCCUCGGCGACGCACGCCACGACAAUCGGUGGUUGCGAAACCUCGGUUGCCCGUCGUGUGCGGUCGUUGCGCAUCGAGGGCUCGAAAAAAUUGCCGGGCUUCGGCUCGACUUUCAACGCGACCCCAGGUCAGGCGGGGUUACCCGCUGAAUUUAAGCAUAUCAAUAAGCGGAGGA